AGCGAACGCUGGCGGCAGGCUUAAUACAUGCAAGUCGUGGGGCAGCAUGAAUGUAGCAAUACAUUUGAUGGCGACCGGCAAACGGGUGCGGAACACGUACACAACCUUCCUAUAAGUGGGGAAUAGCCCAGAGAAAUUUGGAUUAAUACCCCGUAACAUAAUGAUGUGGCAUCACAUUAUUAUUAUAGCUUCGGCGCUUAUUGAUGGGUGUGCGGCUGAUUAGAUAGUUGGCGGGGUAACGGCCCACCAAGUCUACGAUCAGUAGCUGAUGUGAGAGCAUGAUCAGCCACACGGGCACUGAGACACGGGCCCGACUCCUACGGGAGGCAGCAGUAAGGAAGAUUGGUCAAUGGACGCAAGUCUGAACCAGCCAUGCCGCGUGAAGGAUUAAGGUCCUCUGGAUUGUAAACUUCUUUUAUCUGGGACGAAAAAAGGCGAUUCUUCGUCACUUGACGGUACCAGAUGAAUAAGCACCGGCUAACUCCGUGCCAGCCGCCGCUGUAACAC
rnacentral:rRNA from 1 species